UGCUUACAAAGGAGUUUAAAUUCAAAGAAAAAGAAAGAAUUGAUUUUUUGUUUUUACAAGUAGUUUGAAAUUUUGAAAAACAUCAAAAGAAUGAAGAAUCAAGAGUUAGAAACCAAUCUAUUGAAACCAAGUGAAGAAGAAAAAGAAAAUUUGAUGCUAAAGUACGAAACAG